rnacentral:rRNA from 1 species
GACGAACGCUGGCGGCGUGCCUAAUACAUGCAAGUCGACCUUAGUGGCGAACGGUUGAGUCACACGUGGUUAACCUGCCCAUCAGACGGGGAUAACCCUUGGCAACAGGUGCUAAUCCCGUAUACUGCUGGAUGGACCCGCGGUGCAUUAGCUAGUGGGUGAGGUAACGGCUCACCAAGGCCACGAUGCAUAGCCGACCUGAGAGGGUGAUCGGCCACAUUGGGACUGAGACACGGCCCAAACGCCUACGGGAGGCAGCAGUAGGGAAUCUUCGGCAAUGGACGAAAGUCUGACCGAGCAACGCCGCGUGAGUGAAGAAGGUUUUCGGAUCGUAAAACUCUGUUGUUAGAGAAGCGGUAUCUAACCAGAAAGCCACGGCUAACUACGUGCCAGCAGCCGCGGUAAUUC